ACUCCUACGGGAGGCAGCAGUGGGGAAUAUUGCACAAUGGGCGCAAGCCUGAUGCAGCAACGCCGUGUGAGUGAAGAAGGUUUUCGGUAUCGUAAAACUCUGUCCUAAGGGAAGAAACAAAUGACGGUACCUUAGGAGGAAGCCCCGGCUAACUACGUGCCAGCAGCCGCGGUAAUACGUAGGGGGCAAGCGUUAUCCGGAAUCACUGGGCGUAAAGGGUGCGUAGGCGGCUUAGCAAGCCAGGGGUGAAAGGCAUUGGCUCAACCAAUGUAAGCCUUUGGAACUGUUAAGCUUGAGUGCAGGAGAGGUAAGUGGAAUUCCUAGUGUAGAGGUUGAAAUUCGUAGAUAUUAGGAGGAACACCAGUGGCGAAGGCGACUUACUGGACUGUAACUGACGCUGAUGCACGAAAGCGUGGGUAGCGAACA
rnacentral:rRNA from 1 species